UCCUGGUUAACCCAGGCAGUCUCACUAGAGUUCCCACCUUUACGUGUUGGCAACUAAUGAUAAGGGUUGCGCUCGUUGCGGGACUUAACCCAACACCUCACGGCACGAGCUGACGACAGCCAUGCAGCACCUGUGUAGAAGCCCCGAAGGGCUGACAUAUUUCUACGUCAUUCCUCUACAUGUCAAGUCUGGGUAAGGUUCUUCGCGUUGCAUCGAAUUAAACCACAUGCUCCACUGCUUGUGCGGGUCCCCGUCAAUUCUUUUGAGUUUCAGCCUUGCGACUGUACUCCCCAGGCGGUAUACUUAACGCGUUCGCUACGGCACAGCCAGGGUUGAGUCCGGCUACACCUAGUAUACAUCGUUUAGGGCAAGGACUAC
rnacentral:misc_RNA from 1 species